GCGUAACAUUGCGCGCGAUUUAGUAAUAUGAGGACACACACUUUGGACAGUCACAGUCGAUACCGAUCGAAAUUUUUAGUUUAACUGUCGCCACUCACUUAUCGGCGACA
rnacentral:ncRNA from 1 species